rnacentral:rRNA from 1 species
CCUACGGUGGGCUGCAGUGGGGAAUAUUGGACAAUGGGCGAAAGCCUGAUCCAGCCAUGCCGCGUGUGUGAAGAAGGCCUUCGGGUUGUAAAGCACUUUCAGUGGGGAAGAAAGCCUUGGGGCUAAUACCCUCGAGGAAGGACAUCACCCACAGAAGAAGCACCGGCUAACUCCGUGCCAGCAGCCGCGGUAAUACGGAGGGUGCGAGCGUUAAUCGGAAUUACUGGGCGUAAAGCGCGCGUAGGCGGUCUGAUAAGCCGGUUGUGAAAGCCCCGGGCUCAACCUGGGAACGGCAUCCGGAACUGUCAGGCUAGAGUGCAGGAGAGGAAGGUAGAAUUCCCGGUGUAGCGGUGAAAUGCGUAGAGAUCGGGAGGAAUACCAGUGGCGAAGGCGGCCUUCUGGACUGACACUGACGCUGAGGUGCGAAAGCGUGGGUAGCAAACAGGAUUAGAUACCUGUAGUC